AUCCGUAAGAAUAAGCACCGGCUAAUUCCGUGCCAGCAGCCGCGGUAAUACGGAAGGUGCAAGCGUUAUCCGGUUUUAUUGGGUUUAAAGGGUGCGUAGGCGGCUUAUUAAGUCAGUUGUGAAAUCCUAGUGCUUAACGCUAGAACUGCAAUUGAUACUAUUAGGCUUGAGUUAAGAAUAGGUAAGUAGAAUUUAUGGUGUAGUAGUGAAAUGCUUAGAUAUCAUAAAGAAUACCAAUAGCGUAGGCAGCUUACUGGUCUUUAACUGACGCUGAGGCACGAAAGCGUGGGGAGCAAACAGGAUUAGAUACCCUGGUAGUCCACGCCGUAAACGAUGAUCACUCGGUAUACAUAAAUUUAUGUGUGUCUAAGCGAAAGCGUUAAGU
rnacentral:rRNA from 1 species